GACAGAGGUGCCGAGCGUUAGGCGGAAUCACUGGGCUUAAAGCGUGUGUAGGCGGGUCCGUAAGUACCUUGUGAAAUCCCACGGCUCAACCGUGGAACUGCUGGGUAUACUGCGGGUCUUGAGCCACUUAGGGGCAAGCGGAACAAACGGUGGAGCGGUGAAAUGCGUAGAUAUCGUUUGGAACGCCGAUGGUGAAAACAGGUCGCUGGGGACGUGCUGACGCUGAGACACGAAGGCCAGGGGAGCGAACGGG
rnacentral:rRNA from 1 species